rnacentral:rRNA from 1 species
CGGAAGGCAGCAGUGGGGAAUAUUGCACAAUGGGCGCAAGCCUGAUGCAGCCAUGCCGCGUGUAUGAAGAAGGCCUUCGGGUUGUAAAGUACUUUCAGUCGUGAGGAAGGUGUUAAGGUUAAUAACCUUAGCAAUUGACGUUAGCGACAGAAGAAGCACCGGCUAACUCCGUGCCAGCAGCCGCGGUAAUACGGAGGGUGCGAGCGUUAAUCGGAAUUACUGGGCGUAAAGGGCACGCAGGCGGUUAAUUAAGUUGGAUGUGAAAUCCCCGGGCUUAACCUGGGAAUGGCAUUCAAGACUGGUUAGCUAGAGUCUUGUAGAGGGGGUAGAAUUCCAUGUGUAGCGGUGAAAUGCGUAGAGAUGUGGAGGAAUACCGGUGGCGAAGGCGGCCCCUGGGACAAAGACUGACGCUCAUGUGCGAAAGCGUGGGGAGCAAACAGGGAUUAGAUACC